rnacentral:lncRNA from 1 species
UCAGACAAUCGUUGGAUAGUUAUAAUCGAUCGGAGAUUGAAUCGUAGCAGCGAUUAGAGUUAUUACCCUGAUAACGAGCAGAGUUUAGGGAUUUAGAGGGUAAAAUCCCGAGCUAUUAUUUACAAAAAUAAAAGCUGACGGAAAGAGAAGAAUUGAACAGCGAUCGAGUUAAUACCCGGCAUCGUAGCAGCACUUCGUGACCCGUGUGUGUUUAAUUGCACUACUACUGCUCUAAUUCGACGUACAUAGUGAGAAUUGACGUCGUUUCAAUCACAGAAAGCAAGUGCCAAUGUCUGCUAUUUAUACACGAAAUUUGGCAGGCUUACGGACCGUAAGCCAUAUCCCUUACGGUCCGUAAGGGAAGCACUCUAUUUAUAGGCUGCCUAGGUUCGGGACUAGCCUUGCUGACUUGAUGAUUUUGACCAAUAAGAAUUAAACAACGUUUUAUAUUGAUAAUCGUUAGCUAGGGUUUACCCCCUUUGAGUUUUAGGGGCCCUGAUCCUGAUUUCGAUUGUUCUGGAAAUUUUAGGGUUUAUGCAGAAUCACUUGGGUGUCUCAAUUAGGUUUUCUUAUUGGAUAAUUAUCAUAUUAAAUAUUAAUUUUAGUGAGAGUUGUUACACUAACUGA